UGCUAAUUUAAGCUGCUGCAUUAAUGUUCCAUUCUUCCUUUCCAUUAGCCCUGCUGCUGCUUCUGGUUUAUAGGUGAGAUGGUCCUCCAUUCAAAGUCAAGUUCGUUUGCCCAGCUUGCACAUCAUGACCUUGGAAAUGCACCCUCAUCACUGUCUACUUGACAAGGACAUCCAUACGUGGUGCUCAGCUUCUCUAAUCUCCUGAUGAUGAUGGAGACGUGGAGACGUGGAGAUGACGAAGCUUGGCGAGGCCAGAAGUGUUGUCCUCACAAACCAAGGCAUAUCUAGAACACUCAUGCAGAGGGAGGCAGCUGCCGUAAUCAAUCUGCCAGUCCCUCACAGGUUGGGAACUCCGAUGGCGUCUUUGGAUAGAAGUCACCCACCUGGGUACCAAGGUGACCACUUCCUGGGCAUCCAGUCUGCUGUGUCUACUAAACGGUCAGUUGCUAGGGCUCAUCCCGAAGCUAGGGCAUCACCUUCCUGAUUGCUUGGGGUGCCCGCGGCUUAUGAACCAGACAUGGAAGACAGCAGGACCACCUGAAGCCCUUGCAGGCAAACUCAAAUGUCC
rnacentral:lncRNA from 1 species